UACGGGGGGGGCAAGCGUUGUUCGGAAUUACUGGGCGUAAAGGGUUCGUAGGUGGCUUGCUAAGUCAGACGUGAAAUCCCUCAGCUUAACUGGGGAACUGCGUCUGAGACUGGCGGGCUCGAGUGCAGGAGAGGAACGCGGAAUUCCAGGUGUAGCGGUGAAAUGCGUAGAUAUCUGGAGGAACACCGGUGGCGAAGGCGGCGUUCUGGACUGCAACUGACACUGAGGAACGAAAGCCAGGGGAGCAAACGGG
rnacentral:rRNA from 1 species